GUCGCGAGAAGUUCACUGAACCUUAUCAUUUAGAGGAAGGAGAAGUCGUAACAAGGGUUUCCGUAGGUGAACCUGCGGAAGGAUCAUU
rnacentral:rRNA from 1 species